rnacentral:rRNA from 1 species
GAUGAACGCUAGCGGGAGGCUUAACACAUGCAAGUCGAGGGGUAUUGUAGCAAUACAUUAGACCGGCGCACGGGUGAGUAACGCGUAUGCAACCUGCCGUUAACCGGGGGAUAGCCCGUCGAAAGGCGGAUUAAUACCCCAUAAUAUUGGGAUUCUGCAUGGGAUUUCAAUUAAAGCUGAGGUGGUUAACGAUGGGCAUGCGUGACAUUAGCUAGUUGGUAGGGUAACGGCCUACCAAGGGUACGAUGUCUAGGGGUUCUGAGAGGAAGGGCCCCCGCACUGGUACAGAGACACGGACGAGACUCCUACGGGAGGCAGCAGUGAGUAAUAUUGGUCAAUGGGCGAGAGCCUGAACCAGCCAUCCCGCGUGCAGGAAGACGGCCCUAUGGGUUGUAAACUGUUUUUGCGCAUGAAGAAUGUUACCGACGUGUCGGUAAGUGACGGUAAUGCGUGAAUAAGCAUCGGCUAACUCCGUGCCAGCCGCCGCGGUAAUAC